rnacentral:rRNA from 1 species
UCCUACGGGAGGCAGCAGUGGGGAAUAUUGCACAAUGGGCGCAAGCCUGAUGCAGCCAUGCCGCGUGUAUGAAGAAGGCCUUCGGGUUGUAAAGUACUUUCAGCGAGGAGGAAGGCAUUAAGGUUAAUAACCUUAGUGAUUGACGUUACUCGCAGAAGAAGCACCGGCUAACUCCGUGCCAGCAGCCGCGGUAAU